rnacentral:rRNA from 1 species
CCUACGGGGAGCUGCAGUGAGGAAUAUUGGUCACUGGGCGUAAGCCUGAACCAGCCAAGUCGCGUGAGGGAUGAAGGUUCUAUGGAUCGUAAACCUCUUUUAUAAGGGAAUAAAGUGUGGGACGUGUCCUCUUUUGUAUGUACCUUAUGAAUAAGGAUCGGCUAACUCCGUGCCCGCAGCCGCGGUAAUACGGAGGAUCCGAGCGUUAUCCGGAUUUAUUGGGUUUAAAGGGUGCGUAGGCGGGCUUUUCAGUCGGCGGUGAAAGUCUGUGGCUCAACCAUAGAAUUGCCGUUGAAACUGGGGGGCUUGAGUAUGUUUGAGGCAGGCGGAAGGCGUGGUGUAGCGGUGAAAUGCUUAGA